AAAUGAGAAGUGAAUUAUCACAAUCAGCUUCGACCUGAUCAUUGGUAUAAAAUUAUACCCUUAUUCU
rnacentral:tRNA from 1 species